rnacentral:lncRNA from 10 species
AUUUCAUUCUUUUGUGUGUGUGUCAUGUACGUUUCAGUGUAAAGUUGAGAAAGGCUGAAUCUUGAACUGUUAUCCAGAUGUCAUCUUGGACCACAAAUGAGCACAUGAUAUUUUGAAGUUCCUUUUGGUGAUUUCCUGUUACAAUGGAAAUAAGAAAAUUGCACGAUAUAUUUCUUGCCUGUGAUUAUUUACAGAAGUCAGGUGAGACUGAAGGGAAGUUGGAAGAUCAUCUGGGCCACUGUAACAGCAGCCCAAGAGAGAGGGACUCAGGACCAGGACUCAGGCCAUCACGUGGAAAUGGAGAAGAGAGGAUAGACAUGAGAGUUGCCAAAUGGGUAGAAUAUGUAGAAGUUUAUUGUCGAUUGGAUAUAGCUACUGAGAGGAAGGGUACAUUUGCUGUAUUACCCAGGUUUCUGGCUUUGGUGACUGAGCAGAUAGAUGAAAGUGUCACUCAAAGGGAAGGGAA